ACGAGUUCGCCCUUAGAGUUUGAUCAUGGCUCAGAACGAACGCUGGCGGCGUGCUUAACACAUGCAAGUCGAACGGGGUUAACUGGCAGCACUGAGCAUUGAAGAAUAGGUCAUAUGAGAWGUAAGGGACAUAUGAWUCAGUUUUCGGUGCUGUCAGUUAACUUAGUGGCGGACGGGUGAGUAACACGUAGGCAACCUAUCCUUAAGCGGGGGACAACCCAGGGAAACUUGGGCUAAUACCGCAUAAGACCACGGACUGGAAUGUUAGUGGUAAAAGUAGCAAUACACUUAAGGAUGGGCCUGCGGCCUAUCAGGUAGUUGGUGAGGUAACGGCCCACCAAGCCUAUGACGGGUAGCCGGACUGAGAGGUCGAACGGCCACACUGGAACUGAGAUACGGUCCAGACUCCUACGGGAGGCAGCAGUGGGGAAUUUUGCACAAUGGGCGAAAGCCUGAUGCAGCGACGCCGCGUGGAGGAAGAAUGCCUUCGGGUUGUAAACUCCUUUUGUAGGGGAAGAUAAUGACGGUACCCUGCGAAUAAGCCACGGCUAACUCUGUGCCAGCAGCCGCGGUAAGACAGAGGUGGCGAGCGUUGUUCGGAAUUACUGGGCUUAAAGGGCGCGUAGGCGGUAAUAUAAGUCUGRGGUGGAAUUCUACAGCUUAACUGUAGGACUGCCCUGGAAACUGUAUAACUUGAGUCGGACAGGGGAAGGCGGAAUUCCAGGUGUAGCGGUGAAAUGCGUAGAUAUCUGGAGGAAGGUCUGUGGCGAAGGCGGCCUUCUGGGUUUUGACUGACGCUGAGGCGCGAAAGCGUGGGGAGCAAACAGGAUUAGAUACCCUGGUAGUCC
rnacentral:rRNA from 1 species